GCAAGUCGAACGGUAGCACAGGGGAGCUUGCUCCCUGGGUGACGAGUGGCGGACGGGUGAGUAAUGUCUGGGGAUCUGCCCGAUGGAGGGGGAUAACUACUGGAAACGGUAGCUAAUACCGCAUAACGUCGCAAGACCAAAGUGGGGGACCUUCGGGCCUCACACCAUCGGAUGAACCCAGAUGGGAUUAGCUAGUAGGUGGGGUAACGGCUCACCUAGGCGACGAUCCCUAGCUGGUCUGAGAGGAUGACCAGCCACACUGGAACUGAGACACGGUCCAGACUCCUACGGGAGGCAGCAGUGGGGAAUAUUGCACAAUGGGCGCAAGCCUGAUGCAGCCAUGCCGCGUGUAUGAAGAAGGCCUUCGGGUUGUAAAGUACUUUCAGCGGGGAGGAAGGGAUGAGGGUUAAUAACCUUCGUCAUUGACGUUACCCGCAGAAGAAGCACCGGCUAACUCCGUGCCAGCAGCCGCGGUAAUACGGAGGGUGCAAGCGUUAAUCGGAAUUACUGGGCGUAAAGCGCACGCAGGCGGUUUGUUAAGUCAGAUGUGAAAUCCCCGGGCUCAACCUGGGAACUGCAUUUGAAACUGGCAAGCUUGAGUCUCGUAGAGGGGGGUAGAAUUCCAGGUGUAGCGGUGAAAUGCGUAGAGAUCUGGAGGAAUACCGGUGGCGAAGGCGGCCCCCUGGACGAAGACUGACGCUCAGGUGCGAAAGCGUGGGGAGCAAACAGGAUUAGAUACCCUGGUAGUCCACGCCGUAAACGAUGUCGACUUGGAGGUUGUGCCCUUGAGGCGUGGCUUCCGGAGCUAACGCGUUAAGUCGACCGCCUGGGGAGUACGGCCGCAAGGUUAAAACUCAAAUGAAUUGACGGGGGCCCGCACAAGCGGUGGAGCAUGUGGUUUAAUUCGAUGCAACGCGAAGAACCUUACCUGGCCUUGACAUCCACGGAAUUUGGCAGAGAUGCCUUAGUGCCUUCGGGAACCGUGAGACAGGUGCUGCAUGGCUGUCGUCAGCUCGUGUUGUGAAAUGUUGGGUUAAGUCCCGCAACGAGCGCAACCCUUAUCCUUUGUUGCCAGCGAGUAAUGUCGGGAACUCAAAGGAGACUGCCGGUGAUAAACCGGAGGAAGGUGGGGAUGACGUCAAGUCAUCAUGGCCCUUACGGCCAGGGCUACACACGUGCUACAAUGGCGCAUACAAAGAGAAGCGACCUCGCGAGAGCAAGCGGACCUCAUAAAGUGCGUCGUAGUCCGGAUCGGAGUCUGCAACUCGACUCCGUGAAGUCGGAAUCGCUAGUAAUCGUAGAUCAGAAUGCUACGGUGAAUACGUUCCCGGGCCUUGUACACACCGCCCGUCACACCAUGGGAGUGGGUUGCAAAAGAAGUAGGUAGCUUAACCUUCGGGAGGGCGCUAC
rnacentral:rRNA from 1 species